rnacentral:lncRNA from 1 species
AAAUAAAUGCAGGGAUGCCUCGGCUGGGAGCAGUCCGCCGCCUCCCUCCGAGCGCAGGACGCUCCGACGCCCGCUUGCCCGCAGGCCACCGCAGGUAGGGAGAGCACCCACUCGGGGGCCACGCCCGGGCUCCCCGCACAGAGUCCGCCCCCCACUCGGGUCCACACGCCUACCCUCCCCCAGUCGAGCUAGCUCGUGUGCCUCUGAGAGGACUGGGAGGUGCACCCAGCUCAGGAAGACCCAGGAGGUUGGGGAAUAGUGUUUUUGCAGGGGGUGGGAGAUUCGUGACUGCACGGCCACUUAGAAAAACCAGGAGUCUAGGAGUUUAAAACUCUCGCAGUUUCGGAGUUUGGUUCCUGAGGCGAUGAGAAACCCAGACACUGCAGUCACUCCAACUGGAGAUUCGAACAGGGAGCUGCUAGUUUCAUAAGAGCUGGGGUGCGCGUGUGGUGGGGGAGCGUGAGCGCGCCCUUGGCCUCACAAUCUAUGGUCGGGGACCGCCGGUUUGUGCGUGAAUCUGGGGGGAUAUGGAGGAGGAGGAGCGGAGGCCACAGAGUGCAGGGAGCUUACAGCUCUGAGUGUGUUCUAUGCUGUUUCCCAGAUCCCGGCAGACUAGGGCACCUCCAAACCCCUGCAGGGAAAGAGAAAGCGCCUUUCCUAAAAGCCGAGUCACUUUAGUUCGCAAGAAGCACUGGCGUUUACGCAGUGGAGAGCCACUGGGGUCACGAGCUGGGUCCUGGAGAGAAAGUCAAAGCGUGCCGCGGGUCGUCUAUCAUCCCAGUCCCAUUACAAGCCAGUCGCACCGCCUUGUUUUAGGAGCGUGAUCCGGUGUGUUGCACUUGCGCGUGUAGGGGUCCUAGAACAGGACUUUGGAAGAUAGACUAGGCUCAAGCGCUUCUUUCCGCUGCCUGCAGGAAGGUGCCAACCUCACCUCACUAGUUUCCACUGUAGCCUGCUGAAAAUACAGUACCCUAAAGUUCUGAGGACAGGGUUCAGAAAAGACCUCUUUGGGGACAGAGAGGUGGCUCAUCAAUAGGCGAUUUGACUUGUAAGAGUAAAGCCCAGGAAUCGUUGCUCACCGGUGGGGUGGUUGUGGAGGCGGAGGUUGGGGAAGAAAAAGGAAAAAAAAAAACUAUCUUUACUACUGUCUAUCUGUCCCGCUCAUUAUUUCUUAAACCCUCGUUCUCCGUCUUUGCCUUAAAUGCCCGGCAAUGGAAGAAACCCACUCCCAGUUGGGUUUCCCCUAUCACCCUAACUGGAAACCAUUCUAGGCUGCAUUGCCAUCUGCAGAUGGGGAACCCAGUAUGCUGAAAUGGUCCAACCGGCCCUCUGGAUCGAUGCUAUGAGGGCAUCUUCGAAAGUGGGGCCUAGGCACACCCUUUUGUGCUGCUCUGGUAUCCGGACACUGCAAGCCAACUCGAACACCUCCGUAGCGCUCCAAACCGGGCUCUGCCUAGCGUGGCUGGUGCCUUCCCUGGAACGAGAGGGAAAGCCUGCCGGACGUUAGGCGAGGCUAAUCGUUUUUAAAUAAUUAAUGCCUCCCCAUUCCGCUGGUAAUGCAAGGCCUCGAAUCCGUCAAUUACUUGUCAUUAGACGAGUGUCGCCCCACGGCCUUCCCUCGAGCCUUUGAUGGCGCCGGGUCACCUAGCCCAGCCCACUCUACGGCGGAAUUAAAAGGUGCCCGGCCUUUGAGAGCCGGUGCGGACUAGCCAUGGCCCCUCAAUUCUGUAAAGAGUUUUGAAAGAAAGACCCUCGGUGAAGAGAUGUAAUCUUUCAAAUGGCCAAUUUAAACGCCCGAUCUUUAUCGCCUUCCUCCUCCCGGCUUUAUACAGAAAAAGGCAGUUCGUUGUGCUUUGGGGGGCUUUUAAUGUGGAAGUGGGACGCGGGGGUGGAGCGAGAGAUAAGGCUUAAUAGGGCAUAGGGGAAGGCGUUUGCCCCUGGACUUACCUGGAAGUACCUUGAAGCUACUGUCUAUUUUUUUUCCUUCCCCAUAAGCCUAAGGUGUGGGGAAGGCUCCCUCUCUGGAGGAGCAGGUCGGAAGACCUCGGUGCAAAAGCAGGGACCCCCUGGCUGACCCUGUUCUCCCUCUGCAAAAUAAAGGUAUGUAACAAA